UGGUAACACUUGCUCCGUAACAAGGGAGUAAUAUUACAUGUAGUUGGUAACGCUUGUUGAUUGUUUCGUCUUCGUUUCGUGAUUCGUGAAGGACAAGAGGGUUGUUGGGGUGUUGAUGGCCGAUGGGUUGGUGGCUGCUGGCUGAUCGAAUUCGAGUCACCGAGCACGUGUUCGUGUUGAUUAAUGUUAAUGAAUGAAAAAUCAGAUUCCAGUUGAUUUAUUUCGUGUCGCGAAAAAUGUGAAGUGAAUUUAUGCCAACUUUUCAACAUGAAGUGGUGCAUUGGUGCAUCUUCAACUACGGUUCCGAAUUCCAAUCAAUCUACUUUUCUUUCAUAAAGGAUGGAAUUUAUUUUCUUUUCAUGAGGGUUGCAGUUUCCACAUCCCCCUCCGAUUGGAUCAAUGAAUGAGGCUUGCAAAAUAAAUAUGAAGAUAUUCCAUUGAUAAUCAAGAUGUACUGACGUAUUUUGCAUGAAAUGACAACAAAUCAUCAAGUACGAUUUUUACCCAACAACAUCCGCAUAAAGAUUGGUCUUGGAUAGUGGAUAUGGUUGUGCAGUGAGGAUACAUUUUUCUGGCAUCGUAAUUAUCUGG